UUCUAGCUCAAGGCAGUUAUUUGAAAUGUUAAUGUGGGUGCGACUUUGGACAUUUGAAGUAUGAAAUAAUGAAAAGUAAAGUUCACUUCGCAAUGUAUUCUCUGUCGUUUAAAUUACCCAUGUGAAUGCAAUGGUUUAUAAAUGGGUGUACACUGCUAUUGACUGAAGUACAAGAACAAGCUUGGUAAUGUAUGCAAGGAUGCCCGGAGGCAUGAUACAUUGGGGAAACCGAACAAAGGCUACGACAAUGGAUGAAUAGGCACCGCACAACAAUCGACAGGAGGGUUCCCUCCCAGUUGGGGAACACUUCAGUGGUGCAGGACAUUCAGCCUCGGACCUUCGGGUGACCAUCCUCCAAGGUGGACUUUGGGACAGGCAGCAGAGGAAAGUGGCCAAGCAGAGGCUGAUAGCUAAGUUCGGUACCCAUAGGGAGGGCCGCAACCGAGAACUUGGGUUCAUGUCACAUUACAGGUGAUCACCAUUGCACUACACACACACACAGAUAUUCCUACACACACACACUCUCACAUACACAUGGACACAGGUACACACAGGCACCCACACACACCCUUAUAGACACACACACUUCCACGCUCACACAUGCACCCCCUCGCCGACUUAAGACACUCUGUAUCCACCACAAACACACACAUUCUCACACUCACAACCCCCACCCCAGACAGACAGACACACACAGACAAAGACCCACAUGCAUACAUAUAUUUUGUGUGGUGAAUUUUUAUUGCAGAGUUACAUUGCACUUUGCUCAAAAACUGCAUAUAUUCAUGUAGAACUCUGAGCUCAAAAACUGCAUGAAUUUAUGUAAAACACUGUUAUCUCACUUUUUAGAUUAGAAUCAAUUUAAACAUCAGGUCAUAGACAGAGAACACAGGGCACUUUUCCCUGCCACCAUAGGAACUGUAAAACCUGUGCCCACACCUCCUCCCUCACCUCUAUCCAAGGCCCUAAAGGAGCUUUCCACAUCCAUCAAAGUUUUACCUGCACAUCAUUUAUUGUAUCCGUUGCUCCCGAUGCGGUCUCCUUUACAUUGGGGAGACUAGGCGCCUCCUAGCAGAGCGCUUUAGGGAACAUCUCCGGGACACCCGCACCAAUCAACCACACCACCCCGUGGUCCAAUGUUUCAAUUCCCCCUCCGAGGGAUAUGGAGGUCCUGGGCCUCCUUCACCGCCGCUCCCUCACCACCUGACGCCUGGAGAAAGAACGCGUCAUCUUCCGCCUUGGAACACUUCAACCCCAGGGCAUCAAUGUGGACUUCAACAGCUUCCUCAUUUCCCCUUCCCCCACCUCAUCCUAGUUUCAAACUUCCAGCUCAGCACUGUCCCCAUGACUUGUCCGGACUUGUCCGACAUGCCUAUCUCCUUUUCCACCUAUCCACUCCACCCUCUCCUCCCUGACCUAUCACCUUCAUCCCCUCCCCCACUCACCCAUUGUACUCUAUGCUACACUCUCCCCACCCCCACCUUCCCCUAGCUUAUCUCUCCACACUUCUGGCUCACUGCCUUUAUUCCUGAUGAAAGGCUUUUGCCCGAAACAUCGAUUUCGCUGCUCUUUGGAUGUUGCCUGAACUGCUGUGCUCUUCCAGCACCACUGAUCCAGAGAACACAGGGGGCCAACACCUUCAACAUAUUGUCUAGCUAUCAGCAUUGUUAGCAGCUAACCGGAGAAUGCAACUUUAAAAAGAAGGGUUUUGUGAUUUACACAUGAAAGAAGUGAAACUAUCACUGUAUUCUAACAGAUGAAAGGCUUAACAGACAAUCAAUGUUUCAAUGUAUAAUUUCAGUAACAUCACACUGCAAAUUUUUGCUAUAAAUUCUAUGUUACGAUCGAGCCCUCCACAAUCACCUGAUGAAGGAGCAUCGCUCCGAAAGCUAGUGUGCUUCCAAUUAAACCUGUUGGACUAUAA